AGAAGAAGUUCAGCCCCGAUAGACAGAAAUCCCUUUCGACUUCCUUCUUCCAUCAAGUUUUAGGGUUCAUCCACUGUUCAAUCUGCGACGAUUCUUACAUGUUCUCUGCCACCAAGACUGGAGGUUCGAGAGAUUCAGUGGCUCAAAUCGGUUUUAUCGGCAAAACAUGAAGGGAGCCGAUUGUAAUUUAGAUAUAAUGCCUCCAAGGAAGAAGCAGAAUAAAAGAUCCAACAAGCUGAACUUAAAGAAGAGGACUUUGAGCAAAUCUCAGAAACUGGAGCUGAAGAAACUUGAGGAAGACAUGGAGAAAGAGCUCCUCUCUGCAAAAAAAAUCUGAUUUGUUAAAGAAUGCUUACACUCUUUCUUUACUUCAAAAUUCAUUCAUUAUUUUUGUUUAUAUGAGUUUGGUAUUGAGUUUAUGCAGCAAGUAUGAAAUAUAUGAGGAUGUGUCUUCGCUUUUACAAUCUUCAAAAGUCAUCGGAAGAUCUGAUACGAAGCUGGAGAAACGCAGGAGACCAAUACUCUAAAGCUGGUGUUUUGUCUGAUGAACCAGUCAAGGAAAAUGACAACUCUGAUUUUUGUAUGGGCGAGCCUACCACACCUGAAAUCCAUAUCCCGGCUCUUCAAUCUGAUUCUGACCAACUUAUUCAUCCCAACGAGCUCGAUUCCAAAGUUAUGAUGAUCUCUGCUUAAGAGGUCCGUGAAGAAAAUGAAACGAUGUAUAUGAAUCUACAGACAAUUGUCGUGAUGAUGAAGAAGGCUUACAAAGAAUGGUUUGUCAAUUUUUUUUAAAAAAAAUUGGCUAUGAUGUAUGUUUGGUUUGAUUGGUUUUUAAUGGGUUUUGAUAACGAGAAGUAUGAUGAGAGAGACACAAGGACCUGUGUUUGUAGUUCAUGUUUCAAGACCAGCUGAAGUUGAACAGACGUGGAAGGAUCUUCCUAUAAUUAUGAUGGAGCAGGAGAUCAUGGAGACUCAAUUAUCAUCCCACCGUAAUUAUUUCUGGAAAGACCGGUUGUGGUAAAACCACUCAAGUUCCUCAGUUCCUUAUGAAGCUGGCUUUGGCUCAAAGCAAGUCAGUUCUUGAAGUGUGGUUAUCGGUAUUACACAGCCACAUCGUGUGGCUGUCCUCGCCAGUCGCCACUGACAAGAGGGUGGCUCAUGAGCUUGGUGUUCGUCUCGGUCAAGAAGUCGGUUUCCAAGUUAAGUACGACAAAAAAAAUUGGCUAGAACUCAUCUAUCAAGUUUUAUGACCGAUGGGUAAUACGCAGAAGAGCAACGUCACGAUCUGAAGAGAAUUUCCAUAGCCGCAGCUUCAGCCAUUAAUGGCGGCAGGAAGAAAUCACUUGGUUGCAGAGGAGGGAGGACAUCACACUUGGCGGUUGUGGUUGGUUUGUGUAACUGGCACCUGCACUUCCUGUCAAGUUCUCCAAUGACAUCGAGGGGAUUCAGUUUAUAAACAGCAUAAGAAAAAGUCAUGUUGAUGCUUAUAUCAAGCGCGUCACUGAACUCCCAUUUGAGGUUUUAUGAUUAUCAAGUUUUAUGAUUAUGAAGGUGAGGAAUUUACUUACCGAAUUCAUGUUUCCAAUGAAUAUCUUACUCUCAUCA